rnacentral:rRNA from 1 species
GGAGCUAAUACCGGAUAGUUCCUUGAACCGCAUGGUUCAAGGAUGAAAGACGGUUUCGGCUGUCACUUACAGAUGGACCCGCGGCGCAUUAGCUAGUUGGGUGAGGUAACGGCUCACCAAGGGCGACGAUGCGUAGCCGACCUGAGAGGGUGAUCGGCCACACUGGGACUGAGACACGGCCCAGACUCCUACGGGAGGCAGCAGUAGGGAAUCUUCCGCAAUGGACGAAAGUCUGACGGAGCAACGCCGCGUGAGUGAUGAAGGUUUUCGGAUCGUAAAGCUCUGUUGUUAGGGAAGAACAAGUGCAAGAGUAACUGCUUGCACCUUGACGGUACCUAACCAGAAAGCCACGGCUAACUACGUGCCAGCAGCCGCGGUAAUACGUAGGUGGCAAGCGUUGUCCGGAAUUAUUGGGCGUAAAGGGCUCGCAGGCGGUUUCUUAAGUCUGAUGUGAAAGCCCCCGGCUCAACCGGGGAGGGUCAUUGGAAACUGGGAAACUUGAGUGCAGAAGAGGAGAGUGGAAUUCCACGUGUAGCGGUGAAAUGCGUAGAGAUGUGGAGGAACACCAGUGGCGAAGGCGACUCUCUGGUCUGUAACUGACGCUGAGGAGCGAAAGCGUGGGGAGCGAACAGGAUUAGAUACCCUGGUAGUCCACGCCGUAAACAAUGAGUACUAAGUGUUAGGGGGUUUCCGCCCCUUA